ACAGGUUCACGUAAGAAUCAGGCAAUAUCGAAAUUUUGUGAUAAGUGAUAAGACGCAAAAUAAAACAAAAUUUUACCCAGCAAGAAACUGGGAUGUUUAGAAUGUAUAUGCCAAAUUAUUCUGAAAUAUUCCGUUUCGUUUUUGAAUACGGGCCCGAUAUAUUGACAGGGCGCUCAAUUUUGACGCCGUGCAAGUCUUAGUAAAAUAGCAUACAUUUUUAUCAAAUUACUAAAAACAGCAAACCUUACGAGAAAAUUUGAUUAUAAAUAGUUACUAAACUCACUCAGCUUAAUGAUUUCCAAUUUUAAAAAGUAUUGAAAAGUUUGAGUUUCGAGUUUAAAUUGCCGUUAAAAUUAGCAAAUUCGAGUGAAAUCUGGUUGUCUUUCUUGGUUGAUUCACAAUAUCGUCGCUAGAUGGCGCCUCGUUGCUACGUACGCUAGUGCGCGAAAAUGGAAGUUCGAGAAGACUACACGGUUUCGGGACACUACGCAAACAGUUUCACAAGUCUGUAUAAAGCCGAUCCAGAAUAAACAACUCCAGUGACCCUUUGUAAUUGUUGCAGAGACAUAACAAUACAUCUGCAAGGUUUAAAACUUAGUGAUGGCCGACAAACAACCUGUCAACCCAGCCGCGGACAGCGAAGGAAGUCAUACCCCAAAGAAUCACAUUAUAUACAGGACUCAGAACUUUGACAAUCAUAGACCCUGUCAUAACAUUAAACUGAACUGAUGAGGCAGAAUAUAUCUUACAGAAUGUUUCAACAAGCGAAAAGUCGAAGAAUGUGUUGACCCAGUGCUUAAUCUGAUUGCACCAGGGCAAUCAGAGAAAUUAAAACAAUUGAUUAUGUUAGGACCUAAAUCAACUCCAACAGAUAAAGAGCUGACAAACUACAUGUAUAUGAGGAAAUAACUAACAUUGAACUUCACACUCAAAUUUGUUCAAUGUCAAAAAACUAUGUUAUAUAUAACAGUAAUAAGAUGUACAUGUAUAACUAAUUUAUGUAGAAGAUAAGUGCAUAUAUGUAUGUCCCUUUCUCACUGAUUGUCCAUUAUACAUGUAUAGAAAGAAUAAAGAAAUUUUAUAUCUCAUUACUUCAAGAAAAAUUAUGUGUAAUUAGCAUUAAUUUAGCUGCAUGGUUAAUAACCAAGGAAGACAGAACAAUAACUAAUGAUUAAGUUAAUUGAAUUUCUAAUAUAAAAAAAGAAUCUCAGAAUGCUAUGAUAUUUAUACUAUGUACUUAUCAUGAUAUAUCAUGAUUUCAUCUUUAAUUACUAAUAUUUGUAUUUAUGUAAUUACCAUGAUGGUAGCUACAUUAUUUGGACUACAUUAACAGUGUUUUCCCCAGAAAAUUUUUGAUGCAUGGGGGGAAAUUUGUCAGAGUAGGUGCACGGUGCAGCGUUAAGGGCCAACACCGGGGCAAAAUCACUUCGGGUAAAAAUAAUAUAACCAUCUGAUGAAAUGUACUGCAUGAUAUGCACUAUAAUUAAUGCAUUUUCAUGAAAUUCAUAUUUUGUAUUUAUGUAAUUACCAUGAUGGUAGCUACAUUUUUGGACUACAUUUACAUGUACAUGUAUAUAGGAAUAUUCUAAUAGCAUAAAUUUGUAUACACAGCAUUUACCCAACUGCUGCACAUUCAUAUAAAUGUAUGCACUAUUUUUAUUCCCCCUUCGAAGAAGGUAUGGCAUAUCACUUUGCUGCUGUGCGUCUCUCUCUCUGUCUGUCUGUUGGUCGGACGGCUAGUCCACCAACAGUUACCAUUCAUUUUCUUCGCAGGGGUUCCACAUUUUGAAAUGAAAUAUGGUAUUCAGAUUUAACUGAAUAAGAUCUAGGCAAAGUUAUUUUUUGGGUAUGAUUGAGCAAUUUUUGACCUUGGAAUUAAAAAAAAUUCCAAUUAUUUGCAUUUUCUUCUCAGAUGUUUCCAAAGGAGGGGGCAUAAUUGUUUCACAAACAUGUCUUGUUUGUGUGCAAUUGUUCACUUAGGAUUUUCUUGUUAAAAAAUUCUAAACUUUUAGCCUUUCCAGGGUCCAAAUUGAGGGAAAAAAAUCAAUAUGUAAUCUAUUGGUUGAUGUUUGAUAUAGCCAUCUAUAGUAUGUGUGAUACAUUUUGACAUGUAUGGUGUCAUGUACUGUGGUUUCAUUAAUAUUCAAGGGUAUCAAUUUUAGUGGAUAAAGUGAAAAUCAUAGUUUCAAGGAUACGUAAAUUCGUGGCCAAUGACCCUAUCAAUACAAAAUGUUAAUAGAAAUUGCAUUUCAAUGAACGUUUAAUUUCGUGGAUCAACUUAAAAACGAAAUCCUUGAAAAUUGGUAUUCACCGAAUAUUGAUGAAACCACAGUAUAUCGAGUUAUUCAUGUACAACUUGCUUAAGUUAUUAUAUGUAUGACUGGAAGUCAGUUUAAUAAAGUACUUGUUAUGGU